ensembl:sRNA
GACACUGGUAAUGGUACGCCUGCUUCAGCAGGUUGGGGUUCGAUUCCCUGCAGUGUC